AUACCAAUAACUGCUAUUUCCACCAAUAUAUUCACCCUUAUAAUCUCCAACUGUAAUACUACACCCUCACAGCUUUCAGCACACAAUUACCCUCGUUCCAAUCACUGGAAUUCUUCACACAGAACUGCCAUUUACAUAACAGUGUUUCACACAAACAUAGACUCAUUCUCUCUGCUGAACUACAAUCAGAUUUCAAAAUUCAAUCUUUCUUCUUCUCAAAUAAUACCAAUCACAUUUCCAUUCCAUGAUUUACUUCACA
rnacentral:lncRNA from 1 species